GUAAAACCAAAUUCAUUGCACUCCGCAUGAGUUUUGAGUCUUUCAGAGCUUUCACUUAAAAAAUCAUUAAGAAAUAACCAUUCUAGGCAGAGCUCUGACCAGCUGGCAUGUUGGCUACCAACCCUUUCAGAAAUAGGAUUUAAGGGCUUUCAUAUGUUUGCAAACCAGCCACUCUUGAUAUGUGUGAACUGUCCUUCUCUCCUCCUUCCAUCCCACCUUGUGUAUAAAAAUACCAGACUGUUAAUCCUAGAAAAUACUUCAGCAUUUUGAACAGUUGCUUCAAAACUACUUUUACUGCAAAUAUUGCCUAAGCAAUUAAUACACCCAAUUUCUAAUUCAAUAAAUAGAAGUUGUCCACAGAAACCUCCUUGUGAAGAUUAUAGGAAGUGGGAAAAAUUAAACUUUGGAGAUGGUUAUAGAUGUGCAAGGUGAUGGGCCAUUCUUUCAUUCUUUUCAAAACAUCCGUGUAAGUUAAAGAUGUUAAAACAAUAAUAAAUUCAUUUCUGAGUAAAGUAAUCUGCCAUACACCAACUGAAAGUAUUACUUCUAUAAGGCAGUAUUGCACUUAAGUGAUAGUAAAGGUACUUUGAAAUGUAGCAACUUGGUCUGGUGUUAUUGUAUGCUUUGCUUUGAAUACUGAACACCUUCUGUAUGUACAAAUAUGGGGACAGUGUGAUGAUGGUACAUGGCGCGUUAAACUUCAUUUUCCAAUUGAAAUUCACUUGUUAACAAUAUUAAAACAGGUACUGUAUUAAUGAGUUUGCUCAAAAUUCCACUUUAGUGGCUUCUCUGAAAUUCUGUUAUCGUCACAGCCGGUAUCAACCACCUCAGACUCAGUUCUCUCUGUUUUCCAUGCCUGUGGUGCCUCUCCGCUGGCCUCCGGUCAGAGCUGUGCCUGCCCUCUCCCAACCUCGGGUGCUCACCUGCUGGCUCCCAUUUGCGUUUCCUGGCUCCUGUGCGUGGCCAGUUCACCUCCACAUACACCAAAUGGGCUGGAGGGUUGUAUCAGUCCUCUGAGCAUCACUGAACAUUUCAAGACGAGUUGUUUAUGAAGCAUGAUCCCAGCAGAUCCUCCACAAGAACAAAAAGGUAUUAUUCAUAUUUAACAACAUGAAGACAGAGUUAAUGUUUAGUUUAGAUGCCUGAAUAGGCUACAGACUUACUGCCAGCUGCUUUCUUUAAAAACAUUUUACUGUGUUUUCUCUGUCUUAUGCUAGUGGCAUGCAGGUCUCAAAAGGAAGAGAAGAGGGUAAGUUUAAUCUUUUUUUUCCUUGCCUCUCAGAUCAGGGAGGUUUUGUUCCACUUCUGUCAAAGGCUCUGACAGGUGUUCUUCCUGCAGACCUUCAUAAAUAGUUUUAAAAAUCUGUGUGGCAUUCACCUGCCUUUUAUUUUCCUUUUAAGUUUUGGUCUUAAUUGGGAUCCAUGUAGACAUUUAUUUAGUUUGUUUUAUUGAGCGGCAGCAGAGCAGAGUAUUCCCUCCCACGGAGGUGGGCUCGGGAGAGGACCUGAGGGCAGGUAGUUCUG
rnacentral:lncRNA from 1 species